AAAAAUAAUUGCAGAUUGCAAAAAAAUUUUUGUUUCAUUGUGAAAUAAAAUUUAAUUUUCGUAUGUUUUUUAAUCUUAUUAUGAUAAAUGUAUGAUUAAAAAAGGAAAAAAAAAAUCGAUUAAUUGAAAAUUAGUAAAGAAAAAAAAAACAGCAAAAAAAAAAAGAAGGAAAAAAUUGGUUCAAUUGAAUUUUUUAAUUCAAUUAUUUUUUUGUGGUUUUUGGAUCUGCAGAGCCAUUUUUUUAGAAAAAGGGGCUGACUGAUUCCAUUGGGAAUAAAGUUUCCGAGAACUAUAUGCGCAUAUAAUAUAUAACGAAAUAAUAUCGUAUAAUUGAUUAAUAUCGAAAGAGCAUUAAAUUGCAUAAUUAAUAAAAAAAAAAUAGUGAAAAAACGAAAAAUAUUUUCGAAAAACAUUAUUGUAAUUACAACAUUGUAAACAAAAAAAAAAAUUCAUUCAAUAACCAAGAGAAAAUAUAGUAUAUAAAUUGUGAAUCACUCUGUACUAUUCUUGUAUGUGAUUAUAUGAACAGAAAAAGAGAAAUACACAAAAUAAAACUCAAUCUCUUUCUUGAUUUUGUUCUCUUAAAUAAUUUCAUAAAAGUUUAUUAAAAUUGGCAAUAUUGAGAGUAAAAUUAAAAAAGCAAAAAAAAAAAAAAUUUAAAAAAGUGUCAUAUAAAAAGUGAAGGUUUUUGGUUAAAAAAUAAAAUAUAAAAAAUAAAUUAAAGCUUUUUUUUUAUCUGAAGAAUAAAAAAUAAGCAAAACGGUAAAGCUUCCACCAGAAAAAAACUGAACUGUGAGUUAAGUUAAAUUCUCUCUUAAAAAAUAUUAAUAAUAAAAUACAGAGAAAAAUUAAAUAAAAACGAAAACUAUUAAAAAUAAAAAAAAAAAAUAAAAGAGAAAAUUCUGUAUGUUAAUGUAUAGUGUUUUCCCUUUCUAAUUCAUGUUAUCGUGAUUUGUGGUGAACGACGACUGCGUGCAUUAUAUAAAAAAAAUUAAAACUAUUAAGAGCAUAAACAAGAGCUUUUUUACAAAA